rnacentral:rRNA from 1 species
UGGGGAAUAUUGGACAAUGGGGGGAACCCUGAUCCAGCCAUGCCGCGUGUGUGAAGAAGGCCUUAUGGUUGUAAAGCACUUUAAGCGAGGAGGAGGGUACUGGUAUUAAUACUACCAGCUACUGGACGUUACUCGCAGAAUAAGCACCGGCUAACUCUGUGCCAGCAGCCGCGGUAAUACAGAGGGUGCGAGCGUUAAUCGGAUUUACUGGGCGUAAAGCGUGCGUAGGCGGCUAAUUGAGUCGGAUGUGAAAUCCCCGAGCUUAACUUGGGAAUUGCAUUCGAUACUGGGUAGCUAGAGUGUGGGAGAGGAUGGUAGAAUUCCAGGUGUAGCGGUGAAAUGCGUAGAGAUCUGGAGGAAUACCGAUGGCGAAGGCAGCCAUCUGGCCUAACACUGACGCUGAGGUACGAAAGCAUGGGGAGCAAACAGG